UAGGGAAUCUUCCGCAAUGGACGAAAGUCUGACGGAGCAACGCCGCGUGAGUGAAGAAGGAUUUCGGUUCGUAAAACUCUGUUGUUAGGGAAGAAAAAAUGUAUAGUAACUAUAUACAAAAGAGACGGUACCUAACCAGAAAGCCACGGCUAACUACGUGCCAGCAGCCGCGGUAAUACGUAGGUGGCAAGCGUUGUCCGGAAUUGUUGGGCGUAAAGCGCGCGCAGGUGGUUUAGAAAGUCUGAUGUGAAAGCCCACGGCUCAACCGUGGAGGGUCAUUGGAAACUAAUAAACUUGAGUGCCGGAGAGAAAAGUGGAAUUCCUAGUGUAGCGGUGAAAUGCGUAGAGAUUAGGAGGAACACCGGUGGCGAAAGCGGCUUUUUGGCCUGCAACUGACACUGAGGCGCGAAAGCGUGGGGAGCAAACAGG
rnacentral:rRNA from 1 species